GCCGGGUGCGUUGGCAUGUGCCUGUAAUCCAAGUCACUGGGAGGCUGAGGUUGGUGGACCAAGUGAGCUGAGGAGCUCUGGGCUGCAGCACGCUAUGUCGAAUGGGUGUCCACGCCAAAUUCGGUAUCGAUAUGGUGUUCCUGGGGGAGCCCGGGACCACCAGGUUGUCUAAGGAGGGGUGAACCGGCCCAGGUCGGAAACGAAGCAGGUCAAAUCCCCCGUGCUGUCCAGUAGUGGGAUAAUACCUGUGAGUAGAUGCUGCAGUGCAGCCUUGGCAAAACAUUGAGACCUAGUCUUUU
rnacentral:SRP_RNA from 1 species